CUCUUCUCUUUUUGAGUAUGAGGUAUAGCCUGCCCAUUGAUAUAGUAAUUUAACGGCCGCAGUAUUUUGACUGUGCAAAGGUAGCAUAAUCAUUAGUUUUUUAAUUGAGGACUGGAAUGAAGGGUUUAACGAAAUAAAAGUUGUCUUAUUAUAAUUAUUUAUUGAACUUAAUUGUUGAGUUAAAAAGCUUAAAUUUUUUUAUGGGACGAGAAGACCCUAUAGAGUUUUAUAUAUUAUAUUUUAUAUAUAGUUUUUUAAUUGUUAUUAUUUAUAAUUUAUUUUGUUGGGGUGAUGGGUAGAUAUUUUAAACUCUAUUUUAUAUAUAUAUAUAUUAAUUGAUAUAUUAAUGAUCCAAUAUUUUUGAUUAAAAGUUUAAAUUACCUUAGGGAUAACAGCGUA
rnacentral:rRNA from 1 species